rnacentral:rRNA from 1 species
CAGGCUGCAACCCGCCUGCGUGAAGUUGGAAUCGCUAGUAAUCGCGGAUCAGCAUGCCGCGGUGAAUACGUUCCCGGGCCUUGUACACACCGCCCGUCACACCAUGAGAGUCGGGAACACCCGAAGUCCGUAGCCUAACCGCAAGGGGGGCGCGGCCGAAGGUGGGUUCGAUAAUUGGGGUGAAGUCGUAACAAGGUAGC